rnacentral:tRNA from 1 species
GGCCGCUUGGUGAAAUUGGCAGACACGCCAGACUUAGGAUCUGGUGCCGAGAGGCGUCGGGGUUCAACUCCCCGAGCGGCCA